UCAAGCUUGCUAGGAUUUUUUCCCCCUUCGAAACCCUCAUAUCAAUUCAGACUAGAGGCUAAAUCGAGGACAAGAAAGAAGGGAGGUUCUGGUGUCACUAGCUCGCUUCAGUUUGUCGUUUGACUGAACGAGGUAGCGAAAUUUGCCCAAUCCGGGCCUAACCUGAACCUAACCAAGUAGGACUUGAUGCCCCCGUACAUGAUUGUCCUCACAGGAAUCCUCUGUUGAACACCAGCGCAUUCAGACACGGAAGUCGGCUGAUGUAUGUUGGUGGUUUCAUGCAACUCCUCAUUCGGCCAGCAGAGGGCAGCAGAAGACACUCUGUUACCUCAUUCGGCCCGUGUGUCCUGCUCUACCAUCAGCGCGGACCCAGAUGAAGAUGUAGGGUGUAGUCCAAGGUCAGCGGUAAUGGAUCCUAGCCACACAGAGAGACCUGGAGAGGGGACCUGCGGAGGCGGCUUCUGAAUGUCGUGCUGACAGAGGGUGACUCACCUUUGACCUUUAGCGACCUCUGACCUUGAGGCCGCACUCAAAGGCCAUUGCUUGACCGUGGAGGGUCACGUUGGGGUCCCUAUGGUCUGGUAAGUGUUCUUCACAGCUAUGAACUCAGCCAAGCUAAGGCUGGAGCUAGCAGCCGGAGUUAGUGACCGUACUUACCUUUUUGUGCAACAAAAAUAGGCAAUGUUCGUGGAAUUUAAGCGCACAUAGCAAUUACUUCAAAAUGUA